rnacentral:rRNA from 1 species
CCGGCGACCGGCGCACGGUGAGUAACACGUAUGAAACCUGCCCGUAGCAGGGGGAUAAGCGGAAGAAAUUCCGUCUAAUACCGCGUAACAACCCAUGGAGGCAUCUCUGUGGGUUUAAAGGAAGCGAUUCCGGCUACGGAUGGUCAUGCGUCGCAUUAGCUUGUUGGCGGGGUAACGGCCCACCAAGGCGACGAUGCGUAGGGGUUCUGAGAGGAAGGUCCCCCACACUGGUACUGAGACACGGACCAGACUCCUACGGAAGGCAGCAG